rnacentral:rRNA from 1 species
AAAUUGAAGAGUUUGAUCAUGGCUCAGAUUGAACGCUGGCGGCAGGCCUAACACAUGCAAGUCGAACGGUAACAGGAAGCAGCUUGCUGCUUCGCUGACGAGUGGCGGACGGGUGAGUAAUGUCUGGGAAACUGCCUGAUGGAGGGGGAUAACUACUGGAAACGGUGGCUAAUACCGCAUAACGUCGCAAGACCAAAGAGGGGGACCUUUGGGCCUCUUG